AUUCAAGUAGCUUAAAUUUAGAGCAUAAUAUUGAAGAUAUUAGGGUAAUUGAAUAAUUCUUGAAUA
rnacentral:tRNA from 1 species